rnacentral:rRNA from 1 species
UUAUGGUGACUAUUGCGGCGGGGCUCACCUCUUCCCAUUCCGAACAGAGAAGUUAAGCCCGCCCGCGCUGAUGGUACUGCCGUAACAGGUGGGAGAGUAAGUCGUCGCCAUUCU